GGCGGCCGGAUAGGCCGCCGAGUGACGGCUCCGCAGUGGUGGGCUCGGCGUGCGGCUCUACUCUGCGACGGCCGUGGAGGGCUGCUCUGGGCUCCGCGGCGGCGUCGCGGCGGUGGGCUCGGCGUGCGGCUCUGCUCUGCGACGGCCGUGGAGGGCGCUGGCUGCUCUGGGCCUCGCGGGAGGUGGAGCGGCGGCCCUGGGGGUGAGGUCGCCGGUGGGCCUCGUGGUGGCUUGCGUGGGGGGCUCGGAUCCAGAGCCUGGGUGGAUCUGGCCCUCCCUUCAGGCGUGGUGCUUCGCCGCGGGGAGGUGCCCCGGCGGCCAGCGGCGGAGUUGUUUAUGUGCAGCAGCAUGCUCGCUCCCCUUGGAGCUUGGCGAUGACCAUGAUAGUGGAGCGCUGGCUACUCCGAAAAUGCAACUGACUGCAUGCUGUUCGAUAUAAUUCUCUCACAACUGAAACAUUAAAUCGAACAGACUCCUAUGGAAGCUGAUAGUAACCACCAGAGAUGCUGGCUCAAGUGCGUCAACAGCUAUUCUUGUCACUGGUCGCUUGGUGGUCGCAAAUGUUGGUAAUUCUAGUGCUGUUGUCUCUAGGAGGGAAGGGUGAAUCCAAUGUCUGUCAUAUUGUGAUUUGUGGACUCUUGAUUUCAGUGGAAAGUUCAUAUUGUUGUCGUUUUCCCCGUGGAUACUCGUCAGUUGAAAUUAACUGCAUAAUAUGAUCUCAUGUUAAUCUCAUUUCGUUUGCAUUAGAUGAUAAUGAUGUUUGCUGCAUCCCACCCUUUCAGCAAUUGCUGUUUUGAGGGAUCACAAACCUUACCAGACAGAGAGAUAGAGAAUUGUGGAAGUUCAUAUUAAUGAUGAAUCCAAUGUUGAUUUCAGUGGAAAGUUCAUACUGUUGUGGUUUUCUCCCUGGAUACACGUCAGUUGAAAUUAACUGCAUAAUAUGGUGUCAUGUUAAUCUCGUUUCGUUUGCAUUAGAUGAUAAUGAUGUUUGCUGCAUCCCACCCUUUCAGCGAUUGCCGUUUUGAGGGAUCACAAACCUUACCAGACAGAGAGUAGAGGAUUGUAGAAGUUCAUAUUAAUGAUGAAUCCAAUGUUGAUUUCAGUGGGAAGUUCAUAUUGUUGUGGUUUUCUCCCUGGAUACACGUCAGUUGAAAUUAACUGCAUAGUAUGAUCUCAUGUUAAUCUCAUUUCAUUUUCAUUAGAUGAUCAUGAUGUUUGCUGCAUCCCACCCUUUCAGCGAUUGCCGUUUUGAGGGAUCACAAACCUUACCGGACAGAGAGACAGAAUUGUGGAAGCUGGAGGAUUUUUGUGAGGUGGGCUGGUACUUCUAUGUGGCCUCUGAAACUCUAUACUCCAGGAUGUGGUGUGUUGGUGGUGUUCUUGCUGUUUUCUUGAGCAUUUGGUGAUAAACUUACGAAGCAGUAUGUUAUUGGUGAUCGACAGAUCAAUGCUUGACUUUACUUUUCUUCCUAAGUUCUCAACUACAACCUAGACUUGUAGGUUUUUUAUUAGAUAUUCUAGGCAGUCAUUACGUCAUCAUAACUGAACGGUAGCCUCUUUAUAGAGAUUUCUGAUUUACCGGUGCACAUGAACUCCUCAUCCAAGAUGUUGGUUGUUUUCGCAUGAAGAACAAAUAAUGGUCACCCAUUCUCCCUUAGAAGAGGAAGAUCAAGGCUAUUACAAUUGGUGAUUGAACCUUUUAUGAAGUCAACCUUCUUAAUCACUUUGCUUCACUGUUAUUUACAGGAGGAGGUAGUCAACAGCUGACUAGAAUUCCUCACCCAUGCUAGUGAUGGCCUGUGGGGUUUUGUAACUAACGAUGUUUUUACUGAAGAUUCUCCUUCACAUAGUGAUAUUUUCCUGUAGUUCUCAAUGGGUUGUCCCGGAUUUUCUAUUUCCAGGAAGUUGUUGCCAUGGCCAAGCCAAUAGAGGAUCCUGAGCAAGCGACGAAGGGACUAGUUCAAGAAGCUUCCCAAAGAGCAAGUGCUGACACAUGACCGUUGUCAUUUGUUCCCAAAGGAUGGAACAACGUCGAGCGGUGAUGUAAUGAGUGAGGAGGUUUGCUAAUGAACCAAUCCUGAUAGUUGUUAUUGUUCGUCCGUGGUGCUGUAUCUGCUGUUGUAUCUGAUGUCAUGUGGCGGUGGCACCCUCCCGUGCUGCGAAACCAAACUGACUUGGCCUGAGUUUCGCCUUGGUUCCAUCCUCCUGGCUAUCCUAGAUGGUGGUUGAUGUCGGAGCAGACGGAUGGUGGGGCCAGUGUUGUUACCAUAUGAUCCAAGGGGUACUUUUCUUCUUCUUGCUGAACCUUGCACUUCGCAGCUUCUUUGCUGGUGCUUCAUGCUAGUGAUUUUUAGCAUCAGUAAUGUAAAUGCAUGUAACUCUACUGUUUGAAUGAUUUUAACAAAGUUGCUCUGCCUGUGAUGUCA